CGGGACGGGUGAGUAAUGUAUGGGGAUCUGCCUGAUGGGGGGGGAUAACUACUGGAAACGGUAGCUAAUACCGCAUAAUGUCUGCGGACCAAAGCGGGGGGACCUCCGGGCCUCGCGCCAUCAGAUGAAACCCAUAUGGGAUUAGCUAGUAGGUAAGGUAACGGCUUACCUAGGCGACGAUCCCUAGCUGGUCUGAGAGGAUGACCAGCCACACUGGAACUGAGACACGGUCCAG
rnacentral:rRNA from 1 species